rnacentral:lncRNA from 1 species
CUAAGGUGGUGUGAACUCUAGAAUUUAUUACUUUCUUUCAGGCUUUCGGGUUUGUCUCUUAAGUCCAUUGGAAUGAGUAAGAGCGCUGCCCAGGAACUAUGCAGGACCGAGGUUGAGGAUUGGGCAUUGUAGGAUAACAAGGAAGUCAAACAGUGGAGGGUGGCCAGGGACACAGAGAAGCUCCGCCCUACUCUGUUCUUGUUGACGCCUGCGCAGAAGGCGCGAGUUCCCGGUGCCGAACGGUGCUAGCCCCCGCCCACCUGGAUGCGCGUGCGCUGACGCUGUGCGAGCCGGCGGUAUGGUCUCCACCAUUCUUUCCGUGUCACGGAUGGCUUUCGUCUGGAGAGCAACAAGUAAGGCAGUCCGCCCGGGAUCCGGAGAGUUGGGGGCCCGCUGAGGAAGCCGAGUUCCGAAAUGCGAGGGCGCAGGCUCAGAGACCGGGCCGGCCGCGGUGGCUGCAGAAGCAUUCGCGGUGCUUGGCGUAGGGGCAGGUGGUUUUCGAGAAGCGCCCGGCUCUUAGGAUCAUCUCUUCUGAAUCACUCUUUGAGGAAAAAGAGUUCUCAAGAAGGAAAGCCUGAGCCUUCAAAGCAAGCCCUUAAGAAAUCAAAGCUGCCAGUUGGUCGUUUUGACUCACUGGACGAUUCACCAGAGGAGAGAGACCCACUGCAGAAGUUUCCAGAUGAUGUCAAUCCAGUUACCAAAGAAAAAGGUGGACCCAGGGGCCCAGAGCCUACACGAUACGGAGACUGGGAACGGAAAGGACGCUGUAUUGACUUUUAAGUCACGCCGUCUCGGGACUGCAGAGUCAUUUCCUGAAUUACUUACUUCAUGUUGUUUUCUGUAUCCUCUAAGUGUGAUAUUUCCAUCGUAUGUCUUAAAAUGCACGUGGUAGCUUCGAGGAGCAAAGGCUGCUUAUAGAUCAGGAACAUGGAAACAUUUUUCCAUUAGUGUGUUAACUUCAACUUAAACAUGUCAGGGCAGAGAGCCUGUGAUGAGAGCUGCAAGCCUUUGCAGUGAUUUUUUAUCAUCAUCAUCAUCAUCAUUAUUAUUAUUAUUAUUAUUAUUAUUUAAUCAGUUGCUUAUAAAAUACACAUGUUAAUAAAUACCUCUUGUUAGAUUUAUUAUUUUAUUUUUAUAAGUAUGAGUGGAUUUUUUUUUCUGUGUGUAAGUGUGUGCUUGGAGGCCAUGAAGGCCAGAAAAGGACAUCAUACCCCCCUGGAACUGGAGUUGUGGGUGGCUGUGAGCUGGGAACUGAACCCGGGAACUCUGCAAGAGCAGCAAGUGCUCCAACCUGUGUGCCAUCUCUCCCGCCUUCUUACUUUUAACUAUGUUUAUGUAUGCCUGUGCAUAUGCACAUGUAGUGCAGUUGCCCUUACAGGCCAGAAGAGGGCGUCAGAUUUUUUUUCUGGGGCUGGAGUUAGAGGCUGGUAUGAGUCUCCUGCACUGGGUUGCCAGGAACCAAGCACAGGUUCUUUCUGGGUUUUUUGUUUGUUUGUUUGUUUGUUUGUUUGUUUUUCUUAUUUACAUUUCAGUUGUUAUUCCCUUUCCCGGUUUCCAGGCAAACAUCCCCCCAACCCCUCCCCUUCUAUAUGGGUGUUCCCCUCCCCAUCCUCCCCCCAUUGCCGCCCUCCCCCCAACAAUCACAUUCACUGGGUGUUCAGUCUUAGCAGGACCAAGGGCUUCCCCUUCCACUGGUGAUCUUACUAGGAUAUUCAUUGCUACCUAUGAGGUUGGAGCCCAGGGUCAGUCCAUGUAUAGUCUUUGGGUCGUGGCUUAGUCAAGUACAGGUUCUCUGUAAAGCCAUUCUCUCUCUCUCUCUCUCUCUCUCUCUCUCUCUCUCUCUCUCUCUCUCUCUCUCUCUCACAGAGCUGCCCUCCCAGACCCAGUAAAAUGACUUCUACACAAUUGUUGCUGUGACUAGGUGUGCUGGUUAGUUUAGCUCAACUUGAUGUAAGCUAGAGUCAUCUAGCUCACGUAAUAAAAUGCUUCUUCUAUCAGACUGGCCUGUAGGGCUGUCUGUGGGGCACUUCCCUGAUUAAUGACUGAUGUGGCAGGGCCCAGCCUACUGUGGGCAGUGUCCUCACUGGGCAGGUAGUCCUGGAUUGUGUACGAAAGCGAGCUGAAUUAGCCGUGCGGAGCGAGCCACUGAACAGCUUUCCUCUGCUUCAGUUCCUGCUCCAGGAACUGCCUUUACUUCUGCCUCGAUUCCCCUUUGUGGUGGAUUUUCACAUCUGUGUGAUCUGCGAGAUGGAAUAAACCCUUUCUUCCGCAAGUGGCUUCUAGUCAGUGUUUUAUUAAAACAAUAGGAACCAAAUUAGGACACUAGAAGAGCAGGUUUUUAAGAAUCGUAUGCGUGCGUGUGCACAUGCACGCUCACAAGUAUGUAAGAAAGCAUGUAUGUGGGCGUAUGUAUGGAGGUCAGAGGAGAACUGUGUUCUCUCCCUCCAGCGUAGUUCCAGGAAUGAAGAGCUGAGGUCAUUGAGCUUGUGGGGUGAACCUUUUUCCCCAGUAAGCUACCUCCCAGGCCUGAUGGUGACUUUUAAAAUAUAGGUUGAAUAGUACAGUAGAGUUCAUGAAGGUCACCGUAAUGAUACAGAAUCCUUAGUUUGGAGCCAAAUGAGCUAAAUUCAGUGCUGGCCCCACUCCUUGAUGUCUGUGUAAUCCUGACCAGUUUAUUCAGUGUCCUGGUACUUCUGUAUCCUUUUGUGUAAACGGGAGAUGAUAGUGGUUGAUAGACAGUUGAGUAGAUUAAUUUAAUCCACAAGUAGUACAGUUCCUGAGAGAAACAAAACCACUGGGGGGAGGGGGUAUGUGUACGUAUGUGUAUUCGUGCAUGUGUGUGUGUGCACAUGUGAGUGCAUGUGUGUGCGCCUGUGUGAGUGCAUGUGUGUAUGCAUGCACGUGUGUGUAUGCACAUGUGAGUGUGCACAUGUGUGUGUGUGUAUGUAUGUGUGUGUUCUUUCUCCACUAUGUAGAUUCCUGGGAUAGAACUCAGGUUGUCAGACUUUCAGCAGCAAGUACCUUUAGCCAUUGAGCCGUCUCUCUAACCCUGAGACAAAGUUUGAAAAAAGCCUGGACAAUAUAGUAAGAGCCUACUCCCUUUCAAGCAAACAAACUGAAUGGAAACAGCAAAAAAAAAAAAGCAAGAAUUCCUUUCAGAAACACCCUCACAGGCAGACAUGGGCAGUUUCAUCGUGUGCACCAUUUUCAGCACAGAAGACAUGGCUUUCCUUGUGUUCACUAUUCUAAACCCUGAAGGUAUUUUUCCUUCACUAGGCCUCCUGCAGGAAUAAUCAAGAAAGGCAAAAUUUGAAAUAUUGAAUUAAAAUUCUUAUAUAGUCACAUGAAAGUAUCAUCAGUUAAAAGCAGUGAUAAUUUGGGUGGUUGAAAUGAGAUGUGUAUUAGUAAAGACAUCAAAUUAGAAAAGCAGGGAGUAGAAGGGUUCAGUUUAUCUUGAUAAUUCAAGGGAUAACUGGGUCAGAUCCACUGGGGGCACCCAAAGCA